GAUGAACGCUGGCGGCGUGCCUAAUACAUGCAAGUCGAGCGAACAGACGAGGAGCUUGCUCCUCUGACGUUAGCGGCGGACGGGUGAGUAACACGUGGAUAACCUACCUAUAAGACUGGGAUAACUUCGGGAAACCGGAGCUAAUACCGGAUAAUAUAUUGAACCGCAUGGUUCAAUAGUGAAAGACGGUUUUGCUGUCACUUAUAGAUGGAUCCGCGCCGCAUUAGCUAGUUGGUAAGGUAACGGCUUACCAAGGCAACGAUGCGUAGCCGACCUGAGAGGGUGAUCGGCCACACUGGAACUGAGACACGGUCCAGACUCCUACGGGAGGCAGCAGUAGGGAAUCUUCCGCAAUGGGCGAAAGCCUGACGGAGCAACGCCGCGUGAAUGAUGAAGGUCUUCGGAUCGUAAAACUCUGUUAUUAGGGAAAAACAAAUGUGUAAGUAACUAUGCACGUCUUGACGGUACCUAAUCAGAAAGCCACGGCUAACUACGUG
rnacentral:rRNA from 1 species